CAUUUGGGGUUUCUGGGAGAGCACCCUCUGGCUUUUGGCAGAGAUUUACUAUAGAUCACACCAUGCCUCCCUGACAAGAUAUGCAUGAGAAUGUAUUAUUUGCUCAAUCGAGUUCACAAUUUUUCAUUACCAAUAAUGAAACAGGGCUGUUCAAUAUUUGAUUCUGAUUGGCUAAUGAACAUUUUGAGGUCUGCAAUUAAUUUUUAUGGAAGCAAACAGCUAAAGAAGUUCCAGGCAGGCACAAUGCUGAAUGAUUUCAAUUGUUUCAUAGACCACAAAUGGCAGAAAUCUCAUCACAGUAAAACUAUAGGCUUUAGGUGUGGUAACUGUAAUACAAGUGGGAUAAAUGACUCUGAUCUAUUGAAGUUGCAGUACUUUUCUAACAAUUCAAUGCCUGUCAACAAUUAUGCCUUAGUUAAAUUGGUGGAAUGUUUUCUGAUCGUGUUUGUUUGUCUUUACCCAGGUGAAAAGCCCUUUUGUGCCACUUCACAAUGCAACACAGGAAGAACUCAUUUAUAAUAACUGAGACUUUCGAAGAGUGAAACACUCUUCGACCCCAGACGCUGGGGUUGUGCCGAUAGACGAUGCCAUCUUCCAUCGCAGAUGGCCGACAAACUUCACGGUGCUGAGCUGGCAUUGGGAUCCAUCGCCUCGCCCCAUAUUUAUAUUUAUAUGUAACUUAUUAUGUAACUUAUUAUUUGCAUAUCUAUCCCUAUGAGGAAAAGAUUUUUCAGAUUUCAGAAAAUAAUACCCUCUCUGAAUGUAGCUAUAGAGACAGGAUCCUUAAAUUAUUUGUUUCAGACACUCUGAGAAAAGAUUCAGAAUCUGUUGCAAAUGGGUGUAAAUCAUUUGACUUGCAAAACAAAAUGAAGGCACUUUAAUAUAACUUUGUGUUUAAAAAAGCGCACAGACUGACAAAACGUAAGUGUAGGUGAAGUAGCUUUGUAUUAAAGUCUCUGCCUGUGUAUAAUAAAUAUAAAUGUGUAUAUAUAUAUUUUAUCCUAGACUCACAUGGCCUUGCAUGCAUAUUUGAGGCCUCAUAAAUGCACCAGCUGCAGUUUUGCCUCUAAAAACAUGAAAGACCUGCGACGCCACAUGAUGACACACACCAACGAGAAGCCUUACUCCUGCCAGGUGUGCGGCCAAAGGUUCAACCGUAACGGCCAUCCACAUGGAGAGGCUUCACACUCAGGAGCCGUCUCCCCGUAAAGCUCGCUCCAUCCCCUCACAGCAGACCAUCAUCAUCAACAGCGAUGAAGAAGCUUUAGCCACACUGCAGAAUUUGCAGGCGGGUCAAACGGUCAUCAGCCCAGAGAGGUUACAGCAAGCGUUGGGUCAGGAACACAUCAUUGUGGCUCUGGAUCAAAGUCUUUCUGACCAGUUUCUUAGGAGGAGGCAGCAUAUAUUCAGCAGAUCACAACAGUAGAUGGACAGACCAUACUGCACUUAAUGACUGGAGACAACCAGGUCACUGAGGUCCAGUAUAUCAUCUCUCAGGAUGGAGUUCAGCAUUUGCUCCCAAGAGAGUAUGUGCUGGUAUCAUGGGAAACACAUUCAGAUGGGGGACUGGCAAAUCACUCACAUUCAGUAUGAACAUGAUGGGAUGUUUCUACAGGAACAACAGGUUGAGUUCAGAGCCAAUACUGGCACACUUGUUUACUUUGUUCAUGUUGUAAUUACUGUAAUUCAAAUGUAACAUGAUUGCUUAUAAAUACUUGAACUGUUUGUGUUUACUUAACAUGAACAGUAAAACCAAUGCAUGAUGUAUGUCUUAACUAA